AUUGAACGCUGGCGGCAUGCCUUACACAUGCAAGUCGAACGGUAAGAGGUCUUCGGAUGCUGACGAGUGGCGAACGGGUGAGUAAUACAUCGGAACGUGCCCAGACGUGGGGGAUAACGAGGCGAAAGCUUUGCUAAUACCGCAUACGAUCUAAGGAUGAAAGCAGGGGACCGCAAGGCCUUGUGCGUUUGGAGCGGCCGAUGGCAGAUUAGGUAGUUGGUGGGAUAAAAGCUUACCAAGCCGACGAUCUGUAGCUGGUCUGAGAGGACGACCAGCCACACUGGGACUGAGACACGGCCCAGACUCCUACGGGAGGCAGCAGUGGGGAAUUUUGGACAAUGGGCGAAAGCCUGAUCCAGCAAUGCCGCGUGCAGGAUGAAGGCCUUCGGGUUGUAAACUGCUUUUGUACGGAACGAAAAGGCUCUGGCUAAUACCUGGGGCACAUGACGGUACCGUAAGAAUAAGCACCGGCUAACUACGUG
rnacentral:rRNA from 1 species